CCCCCUUCUAUCUCUCUGUCUUUCUCUCUCGUUCUUAUUCUCUCUCUCUCCCUCUCUCUCUCUACUGCACACGCUUGCUGUGUCUGACCCCUGGGUCAUGGCGAAGUGACUUUGAGCCUUGUCUAACUGGGCCUCUUUGAGAGCAGCCCUCGCAUUCCUGCUUGCUGAGACGGGGCAGGCAGCGCUUAUUACCAGCUCCGGGGAGGAAGUUUCUGCCGGCAGGGAUUAUGCGCAGUUUCCUUGCCCAGAAGCUUUUGGGCUUUUGUCCCCUCCCACUCUUAAAAAAGCAGCGAUUUCACAAACUAGAGGUGGUGGUGCUUGUGGUGUUACGGGGAGGGGGGUGCAAACUUAAAUCUGCUGCUUUUGACUGCUGUCAGGUUUUUGUCCCUCCUCGUGUGCUGCGGUGCCUUUUCCGGGGGUGGAAGAACGCGGAGCACGUUUCGGCCACGUUCGAGCAGCGCCGGCAACAGUGGCAGUGGGAACAGCAGCAGCACAGAAGUGCAUUGUGUUUGGGACCGGCGCGGGGAGGGAGGAGGAGGGUGCUGGAUGAGCACAGCUGCGCGGCACACACUAGCCGGCUUCUCAGCUUGUCAGGCAGGCAGCAAGAAGGAGCGAAACGAGCACCCUCUUCUCUCCGCUACUGCUGCUGCUCUCCUGGGGAGGGCCCUCUGUCCAGAACACCCCACAAACCCCCCAACUCAACCAACACAAACCCCCCCUACUCGUCUACCUUGUACAGCUCCAUCCAGGAGGGAGCUUUUUUCCUUUUUUUUUACCAAAGCACCAAAGCGAAAUACGGAACGGAUCCAGGCAAGAAAAGGAUUCUUUUCCCCUUCUUCUGCUGCUGGCUACUCUUAAUCCAGUGAGUACACGGGUGGAGCAGCAGAAUGCUUUAAUAUGUUCCAGGAGCUCUGACUGCGAGCCAGGUGCAAAAAGGCAGAUGAGGAACCGGCUACUGGGACUUACAGUGCUGUACCUGCGGCAGAGUGUGUGUGCUGCACCACUGUUGGAGCUGGGUGUGUGUGUGCUGCUGCAGCAGACACCAGUUGGUAAGUGCUGCAUAUACAUAGGGCAACACAGUCAGAAAGACACACACACACACACACACACAUACAUGUAUUCAUGCCAAGAAAAAGACAGAAAGAGGGCGUUGGGUUGAAAACCUCCAUUUUUACCUCCCUCUUUUACACAAAGGCUUGCAUGGUAGACACACAGACGCACACACAUAGACACACACACACACAUUCACACACUCACAUGGACAGGCCUACAAAUGCCCAGCUCAUUUAAAACCAGGCUAAAUGUUUUGUUCUUGUUUGUAAACUGAAAAUUUGCCAAUAAACUUUAUUCUGAGUAACUGUGAAA